ensembl:snoRNA
UGAAAUGAUGAUACCUGUAAAUAGGAAGUGCCGUCAGAUGCGAUAACUGACGAUAAACUUCUCACUUGUCUGAAC